AUACGGAGGAUGCGAGCGUUAUCCGGAUUUAUUGGGUUUAAAGGGAGCGUAGGUGGACAGUUAAGUCAGUUGUGAAAGUUUGCGGCUUAACCGUAAAAUUGCAGUUGAAACUGGCAGUCUUGAGUACAGUAGAGGGGGGCGGAAUUCGUGGUGUAGCGGUGGAAUGCUUAGAUAUCACGAAGAACCCCGACUGCGAAGGCAGCUCACUAGACUGUUACUGACACUGAUGCUCGAAAGUGUGGGUAUCAAACAGGAUUAGAUACCCUGGUAGUCCACACAGUAAACGAUGAAUACUCGCUGUUUGCUAUAUACAGUAAGCGGCCAAGCGAAAGCAUUAAGUAUUCCACCUGGGGAGUACGCCGGCAACGGUGAAACUUAAAGGAAUUGACGGGG
rnacentral:rRNA from 1 species